GUGUCAGCCGCCGCGGUAAUACGUAGGUGGCAAGCGUUGUCCGGAUUUAUUGGGCGUAAAGCGCGCGCAGGCGGUUUCUUAAGUCUGAUGUGAAAUCCCACGGCUUAACCGUGGAGGUUCAUUGGAAACUGGGAGACUUGAGUGCAGGAGAGGAAAGCGGAAUUCCAAGUGUAGCGGUGAAAUGCGUAGAGAUUUGGAGGAAAACCAGUGGCGAAGGCGACUUUCUGGGCUGCAACUGACGCUGAGGCGUGAAAGCAUGGGGAGAAAACAGGAUUAGAUACCCUGGUAGUCCACGCCGUAAACGAUGAGUGCUAAGUGUUAGGGGGUUCCCGCCCCUUAGUGCUGCAGUUAACGCAAUAAGCACUCCGCCUGGGGAGUACGACCGCAAGGUUGAAACUCAAAGGAAUUGACGG
rnacentral:rRNA from 1 species